rnacentral:rRNA from 1 species
AAUUUUGGACAAUGGGGGCAACCCUGAUCCAGCCAUCCCGCGUGUGCGAUGAAGGCCAUCGGGAUGUCCCGCACUUUUGGCAGGGAAGAAAAGGCUCUGGUUAAUACCUGGAGCUGCUGACGGUACCUGCAGAAUAAGCACCGGAUAACUACGUGCCGGCAGCCGCGGUAAUACGUAGGGUGCAAGCGUUAAUCGGAAUUACUGGGCGUAAAGCGUGCGCAGGCGGUUCGGCAAGAAGGAUGUGAAAUCCCAGGGCUUAACCUUGGAACUGCAUUCUUAACUGCCGGGCUAGAGUAUGUCAGAGGGGGGUAGAAUUCCGCGUGUAGCAGUGAAAUGCGUAGAGAUGCGGAGGAAUACCGAUGGCGAAGGCAGCCCCCUGGGAUAAUACUGACGCUCAUGCACGAAAGCGUGGGGAGCAAACAGG